AGCCCAGCUAAAAUGACAAUUAUUACCACCACCACCGGAAUUUUAUAUUGCGGGACGGGCUGUCGCAUAUAAAAAAAACGAAAAUCGAAAAAGCCCGCAUUGAGAAAUGCGGGUUUUUUUUUG
rnacentral:sRNA from 1 species